rnacentral:rRNA from 1 species
CAGUCGCCGCGGGAAUACGUAGGGUGCGAGCGUUAAUCGGAAUUACUGGGCGUAAAGCGUGCGCAGGCGGUUGUGUAAGACAGGUGUGAAAUCCCCGGGCUUAACCUGGGAACUGCGCUUGUGACUGCACAGCUAGAGUAUGGCAGAGGGGGGUGGAAUUCCACGUGUAGCAGUGAAAUGCGUAGAGAUGUGGAGGAACACCGAUGGCGAAGGCAGCCCCCUGGGCCAAUACUGACGCUCAUGCACGAAAGCGUGGGGAGCAACCAGGAUUAGAUACCCGAGUAGUCCCUGUCUCUUAUAC